rnacentral:rRNA from 1 species
UCGAGCGAGCGGAACUACAGAUUUACUUCGGUAAUGACGUUAGGAAAGCGAGCGGCGGAUGGGUGAGUAACACGUGGGGAACCUGCCCCAUAGUCUGGGAUACCACUUGGAAACAGGUGCUAAUACCGGAUAAGAAAGCAGAUCGCAUGAUCAGCUUUUAAAAGGCGGCGUAAGCUGUCGCUAUGGGAUGGCCCCGCGGUGCAUUAGCUAGUUGGUAAGGUAAAGGCUUACCAAGGCGAUGAUGCAUAGCCGAGUUGAGAGACUGAUCGGCCACAUUGGGACUGAGACACGGCCCAAACUCCUACGGGAGGCAGCAGUAGGGAAUCUUCCACAAUGGACGCAAGUCUGAUGGAGCAACGCCGCGUGAGUGAAGAAGGUUUUCGGAUCGUAAAGCUCUGUUGUUGGUGAAGAAGGAUAGAGGUAGUAACUGGCCUUUAUUUGACGGUAAUCAACCAGAAAGUCACGGCUAACUACGUGCCAGCAGCCGCGGUAAUACGUAGGUGGCAAGCGUUGUCCGAGUUUAUUGGGCGUAAAGCGAGCGCAGGCGGAAGAAUAAGUCUGAUGUGAAAGCCCUCGGCUUAACCGAGGAACUGCAUCGGAAACUGUUUUUCUUGAGUGCAGAAGAGGAGAGUGGAACUCCAUGUGUAGCGGUGGAAUG